CCCGAAUCAUUCCCUAUAGCAUCUCACCCGAUUGAAAACCCUUCUCCAUCGCCGAAACCCUCGCCGCCCCUCGUGAGCCCUCUCUCUUCCCUCUUUUUAGCUCAUGGUUUCCACCUUCGUCAUUGUCCUCCUCAUUCUCUUCUCAUCCUCCGCCCUUGUUGUCAUCUCCUCUGUUACCUGUCAGGACGCCCUCACCCUCUCCAAGCAAGAUAGGGUCGUCCCUGUCUGUAUCGACGAGGAAGUGAGAAUGCUCUACCUGGAGUGGAGGGCCAAGCAUCGCCCUGCCGAAAAUGACCAAUAUCUAGACGAAUAUCAACUCAAGGUCUUCAAGGAGAACCUCCGGAUUGUCGAAGAGCACAAUUCGAUGGCCGACCACGGGGAGCACACCUACUGCCUCACGAUGAACUAGUUCGCUGACCUCACCAACGAGGAGUACUUGUCAGGUUCCUCAUGGACUUCAGAUCCACCUCUCAGAACAUCAGCAAUUAGUACCGGCUGAGAGAAGGGGACGAUCUGCCUGAUUCCAUCGACUAGAGGCAGAAGGCGCUGUCAUCGCCAUAAAGGAUCAUCUCAACUACGAUGACCUAUUCCUUCCUUUAUUGAUUUCAGAUUUGUGUGUGUGUGUGUGGUCAGUGAUAGUAAAGUUAGAUAUCUUGCUUUUGUUUGAUGAACAUUUUUCCAGUAAGUGUAGCCUUCACCUCUCGUUUGACUUUGGACAAAAGAGGUGCUUUGGAGUAAUUAGUAUGGGGAUUUGCUUCCACCAUACCUCUUAUUUAGGCCCUAAGAAUUUUGUUAGAUCUAUAAAUUUAUCUACCGCUAGCAUCUAAAUCUUGAAAUCCUGAUAGAUCUAUGUACUCACCAAAUAGAGAUUUUCACUUACUAGUGUUGUAAUAGUAAGUCCUUAAUUGCAGAUGUAUUUUACAGGCUAUAGGUUAGAAUCUUGAUGAAGUUGUAUAACUCUUCUAUGUCAGCAAUGAAAGUGGUGGGGUGGAGUCAUCUUUCUUAACUUGAGGGAUUAAUGGAAUUACUAGGUGGUCUUCGACUAAACCUAUGAAAAUUAGAGUGUGUUUUUAUUGGAUAUAGUUUGCGAUGACUUUUUUUUCUUUGAAAUUUCUAUUUCUUCAAUGAGGAAAAUAUUCUUAAUUGCCUUAACAUUUUCAUAAUUUCUGUACUUCUAUUAACUUAAUUUGCAUAAUUCUAUCUAUUGUUGCGUACUAAUACAUUUCAAAGUUCAAUUAUUUGAUGGUUCCUUUAUUGCCAUUGAAUUUUAUUUAAUACAAAACACCACAGAUCUCGACUCUUGACCAAGUUCAGAUGUUCCCUUCGGCAUAUCAAGACAUUCUGCUAUUUGGGAAUCAAGCGAGAGCGCUGUGUCAACAUCAAAUUGUACCAAUCUUGCUUCAUUAUAUACUCCACCUUUUGCCUUGAUAUUCCAAGGGCAUUUUGACCAGGUUGUCCUAGAAGUAAGUAUAGAGAUGCUUGUAAUGGUUAAUGAAGACAACAUUACUAGAUGGAUUGAUUAUGUUGUUUAUGAUAAAAUAUUCUUUGAAAGAAUUGGGUAUCCUUGGCUUUUGACUAAACCAUGAAUGGUAUUAGCUAUCUUGUUAAAGGCUUAAUUUGCAUUAAGAAAUGCUCAAAUUCUUAAUGGAUCAAAUUUCUAUUGUUGUAUUAGCUUUGACAUGAUUUGGUUAUAAAAUUAGAUUGUUAGUGGUGACAUUUGUAGCAAUAUUGGGAAUGAAUUUGGUAACAAUAGCGAUAUCAACAUUGGUGCAAAAAAAAGUGGUGAUUUUGGUCAUGUUUUUCAGGUGAUUAUUAUAAAAUUAUGUAUUUUUGAAUCACAAAAUUAUUACAAAAAUAUAUAUGAUUGAAUUAAUAACUUUGUAUUGUUUACUUACAGUCAAAUUUGAGAAAUGUGAGUCAUGGAGAUAUCUGUGCUAAUACUAAAUGUAAGUUGCUUCAUUGGUCUACUGAUGAAUUAGUUGUUGCAGAAGGUCGAAUUGCAUCCACAUAUCCAAACACAAAAGUGCAUCACGUUAUUCUUGGUGGAUCAUGUUGGAAAGUUUGGGUUGAUAAAGUUUUGGUGGAAAAGGUGGACCUAAUUCGACCAAAUGAUGAAAUGCAGUUUCUUGAUGAUGCAAUAGGAAGCACGGUUGCAUGGUUAUCGAAAUUUAUAGUAUUGUGUGAUUGAUACAUAAUAUACUAAUUUGUGUGGAUUGUAAGUUUAAUUAUUGUUAACUAAUAACUAGUUUGAUAGAGAUUUUGUAUCUUGUUUAAGAUCUUUAAAUUUUGUUUGUAUAAUGAAAAA